GACGAAGGAUGCAAGCGUUAUCCGGAUUCAUUGGGCGUAAAGGGUGCGUAGGCGGGUCUUUUAAGUCAGGGGUGAAAUCCUGGAGCUCAACUCCAGAACUGCCUUUGAUACUGAAGAUCUUGAGUUCGGGAGAGGUGAGUGGAACUGCGAGUGUAGAGGUGAAAUUCGUAGAUAUUCGCAAGAACACCAGUGGCGAAGGCGGCUCACUGGCCCGAUACUGACGCUGAGGCACGAAAGCGUGGGGAGCGAACAGG
rnacentral:rRNA from 1 species